GCGUCGGUUGUGCAACGGUUCACCACGCGCCUCGGGAUAGGGUGAAAUCUGGGUUCGAAUCCCAGCUGACGCA